CCUACGGGGUGCAGCAGUGAGGAAUAUUGGUCAAUGGACGAGAGUCUGAACCAGCCAAGUAGCGUGAAGGAUGACUGCCCUAUGGGUUGUAAACUUCUUUUAUAUGGGAAUAAAAUGUUCCACGUGUGGGAUUUUGUAUGUACCAUAUGAAUAAGGAUCGGCUAACUCCGUGCCAGCAGCCGCGGUAAUACGGAGGAUCCGAGCGUUAUCCGGAUUUAUUGGGUUUAAAGGGAGCGUAGGUGGAUUGUUAAGUCAGUUGUGAAAGUUUGCGGCUCAACCGUAAAAUUGCAGUUGAAACUGGCAGUCUUGAGUACAGUAGAGGAGGGCGGAAUUCGUGGUGUAGCGGUGAAAUGCUUAGAUAUCACGAAGAACUCCGAUUGCGAAGGCAGUUCACUGGACUGCAACUGACACUGAGGCUCGAAAGUGUGGGUAUCAAACAGGAUUAGAUACCCGAGUAGUC
rnacentral:rRNA from 1 species